GGACGAAAGUCUGACGGAGCAACGCCGCGUGAGUGAUGAAGGCUUUCGGGUCGUAAAACUCUGUUGUUAGGGAAGAACAAGUGCUAGUUGAAUAAGCUGGCACCUUGACGGUACCUAACCAGAAAGCCACGGCUAACUACGUGCCAGCAGCCGCGGUAAUACGUAGGUGGCAAGCGUUAUCCGGAAUUAUUGGGCGUAAAGCGCGCGCAGGUGGUUUCUUAAGUCUGAUGUGAAAGCCCACGGCUCAACCGUGGAGGGUCAUUGGAAACUGGGAGACUUGAGUGCAGAAGAGGAAAGUGGAAUUCCAUGUGUAGCGGUGAAAUGCGUAGAGAUAUGGAGGAACACCAGUGGCGAAGGCGACUUUCUGGUCUGUAACUGACACUGAGGCGCGAAAGCGUGGGGAGCAAACAGGAUUAGAUACCCUGGUAGUCCACG
rnacentral:rRNA from 1 species